rnacentral:tRNA from 1 species
GGAGCUGUGCCUGAAGUAAAGGGCCACUUUGAUAGAGUGAACCAUGAGGGUUAAACUCCCCCCAGCUCCU